AAGCUGGGAAGGAAGGCGAGACGGCGAGGAGCGGAGGGGCUGUGGGAGCAGCUCGUUCCGGAGCCGCCGCCUCUCUCCCGCCUCCUCCGCAUCCUUCCAGGAGCGCGGAGGGAAUGCAGAGAGCAACCAAUGUCACCUACCAAGCCCAUCAUGUCAGCAGGAACAAGAGAGGUCAGGUGGUGGGGACCAGAGGUGGCUUUCGUGGUUGCACAGUUUGGCUAACAGGCUUGUCUGGGGCAGGAAAGACUACUGUGAGCAUGGCCUUGGAGGAGUACCUGGUUUGUCAUGGUAUUCCAUGCUACACUCUGGAUGGUGACAAUAUUCGUCAAGGUCUCAAUAAAAAUCUUGGCUUUAGUCCUGAAGACAGAGAAGAAAAUGUUCGACGCAUCGCAGAAGUUGCUAAACUGUUUGCAGAUGCUGGCUUAGUGUGCAUCACAAGUUUCAUAUCACCUUAUACUCAGG
rnacentral:sRNA from 1 species